rnacentral:rRNA from 1 species
GACGAACGCUGGCGGCAUGCUUAACACAUGCAAGUCGAACGGUAAGGCCCUUCGGGGUACACGAGUGGCGAACGGGUGAGUAACACGUGGGUGAUCUGCCCUGCACUUCGGGAUAAGCCUGGGAAACUGGGUCUAAUACCGGAUAGGACCAUUGCCUGCAUGGGUGGUGGUGGAAAGCUUUUGCGGUGUGGGAUGGGCCCGCGGCCUAUCAGCUUGUUGGUGGGGUGAUGGCCUACCAAGGCGACGACGGGUAGCCGGCCUGGGAGGGUGACCGGCCACACUGGGACUGGGAUACGGCCCAGACGCCGACGGGGGGCAGCAGUGGGGAAUAUUGCACAAUGGGCGCAAGCCUGAUGCAGCGACGCCGCGUGAGGGAUGACGGCCUUCGGGUUGUAAACCUCUUUCAGCACCGACGAAGCGCAAGUGACGGUAGGUGCAGAAGAAGGACCGGCCAACUACGUGCCAGCAGCCGCCGUAA